UACGUAGGGUGCAAGCGUUGUCCGGAAUUAUUGGGCGUAAAGAGCUCGUAGGCGGUCUGUUACGUCGGCUGUGAAAACCUGGGGCUCAACUCCGGGCCUGCAGCCGAUACGGGCAGACUAGAGUUCGGCAGGGGAGACUGGAAUUCCUGGUGUAGCGGUGAAAUGCGCAGAUAUCAGGAGGAACACCGGUGGCGAAGGCGGGUCUCUGGGCCGAUACUGACGCUGAGGAGCGAAAGCGUGGGGAGCGAACAGG
rnacentral:rRNA from 1 species